CGGGUGGAUUAGUGGCGAACGGGUGAGUAACACGUGGGCAAUCUGCCCUUCACUCUGGGACAAGCCCUGGAAACGGGGUCUAAUACCGGAUAACACUCUGUCCCGCAUGGGACGGGGUUAAAAGCUCCGGCGGUGAAGGAUGAGCCCGCGGCCUAUCAGCUUGUUGGUGGGGUGAUGGCCUACCAAGGCGACGACGGGUAGCCGGCCUGAGAGGGCGACCGGCCACACUGGGACUGAGACACGGCCCAGACUCCUACGGGAGGCAGCAGUGGGGAAUAUUGCACAAUGGGCGAAAGCCUGAUGCAGCGACGCCGCGUGAGGGAUGACGGCCUUCGGGUUGUAAACCUCUUUCAGCAGGGAAGAAGCGAGAGUGACGGUACCUGCAGAAGAAGCGCCGGCUAACUACGUGCCAGCAGCCGCGGUAAUACGUAGGGCGCAAGCGUUGUCCGGAAUUAUUGGGCGUAAAGAGCUCGUAGGCGGCUUGUCACGUCGGAUGUGAAAGCCCGGGGCUUAACCCCGGGUCUGCAUUCGAUACGGGCUAGCUAGAGUGUGGUAGGGGAGAUCGGAAUUCCUGGUGUAGCGGUGAAAUGCGCAGAUAUCAGGAGGAACACCGGUGGCGAAGGCGGAUCUCUGGGCCAUUACUGACGCUGAGGAGCGAAAGCGUGGGGAGCGAACAGGAUUAGAUACCCUGGUAGUCCACGCCGUAAACGUUGGGAACUAGGUGUUGGCGACAUUCCACGUCGUCGGUGCCGCAGCUAACGCAUUAAGUUCCCCGCCUGGGGAGUACGGCCGCAAGGCUAAAACUCAAAGGAAUUGACGGGGCCCGCACAAGCAGCGGA
rnacentral:rRNA from 1 species